rnacentral:lncRNA from 1 species
GAAAAUUUUACCAUUUUACAAAUGAAUAUAUUAUAUUCACGGCACCAGAUCCAACAAAUCCAAGAACUCAUCUUGAUAGAAAAUUAGGAUUAUCUACUUACUUGCCAUCCCUAUCAACUAACAAAGCCAAGAACAUAUCCUUGCAAAUUAUAACCUUCAAGAAUCAGCAUUAUUUGAUUUCACUCAAUUAAACAGUUUCAUGUUCUGGAAACUGCUGAAUUCGCUUACCGACUACACAAGAACAUGACCCUGGUUCUAUAUGAAGAGAAUGCACCUGCUCAUCAUUAUUGGAAGACUGAUGUUCACUGCCUUCAUUCCCGGAAACCACCUCUGGUGUCAUAAAGACCACUUCUUGAAUCUACAACUACUUCCCCUUAAAGUGAACCUUCUAAUGAACAAAUUACCACUGUACACAGCAAAAAAAUACUGGCAUUGGUGCCAUGUUAGAAGCACUCGAUCAACAGAAGAAAAGAGCUAAAACAAAAAUGAAAGAAGCAAGAAAAAGAAAAUGGUCUACUUGUUUUAAUAAAUAGACUCUAAUAAUCCAUAAGGACCGAGUCUUUGUUAUUUAUACAAGAAUAAUUAGUGAAGC